GCAUUAAUGGGGUAGUGGUAACCUGGGUCGUUGCCAUGACAUUCGCUUUCGGAUUUCGACCCGCCGGGGGUUCGAUUCCCUCUUAAUGCA